AUUGAACGCUGGCGGCAUGCCUUACACAUGCAAGUCGAACGGUAACGGGCCUUCGGGUGCCGACGAGUGGCGAACGGGUGAGUAAUGUAUCGGAACGUACCUUUCAGUGGGGGAUAACGUAGCGAAAGUUACGCUAAUACCGCAUAUUCUGUGAGCAGGAAAGCAGGGGAUCGCAAGACCUUGCGCUGAUUGAGCGGCCGAUAUCAGAUUAGCUAGUUGGUGAGGUAAAGGCUCACCAAGGCGACGAUCUGUAGCGGGUCUGAGAGGAUGAUCCGCCACACUGGAACUGAGACACGGUCCAGACUCCUACGGGAGGCAGAAGUGGGGAAUUUUGGACAAUGGGGGCCACCCUGAUCCAGCCAUGCCGCGUGAGUGAAGAAGGCCUUCGGGUUGUAAAGCUCAUUCGGCCGGGAAGAAAUCGUAUCAGCUAAUACCUGGUGCGGAUGACGGUACCGGCAUAAGAAGCACCGGCUAACUACGUGCCAGCCGCCGCCGUAAGAC
rnacentral:rRNA from 1 species